rnacentral:miRNA from 8 species
UGAUCAAGGUGGCUGUGUCUUG